CAGAUGUUGACGUUACCCACGAGGACGCACCUGCCAACAUGGACCGUCAGACUGUGCAGAGUGGAGCUCAGGUCCUGCAGCAGCUCCUUGACAAGGCGCGGGUUGUAGUGGUCUUCUAAAACUAGACCCAGAUCACAGAAGUUGAAUCUCCUCAAGUCCUGGAUGGCGCUGGAAAAGUCUAGACGGUUGAGGGCCUCGCCGAGUGUGCAGUAGCCAUGUCGCUGAACUUCCUGCCUCUGUCUGGGUCGAGAUUGCAGUUUUGUUACAACUCCUCCUCCUGUAGCCGCUCGCUGUCGCCGCUGCUCCUGGAGAAGCCGCCGUCCGACGUGGACUCGCUGGCGCUCCGCACGUUUGCCGCGGCGUCGGCCGAGUGCGCCGAGAAGUUCUCCCUCCCCAGCGAGUCGAUGACCUCGCCGUCCAGUCCGCAGUACUUGAAAAACGAGUCGAAGUCCGCAAAGUUCUUGGAGUACCUGGAGCUGAUGUCGGAGUGGGAGCGACUGACCCCUUUGCCGGACCUCCUCUCCACCUCGGGAACAGCGAGGAGCCCAGCUGCCCGGUUUGGACCAGAUUCACUUCUCUCCGUUCUGUAUGGUUCUGUCAGCCCAUUCCUUCCCCUCUCUGACUGUGAGCCACAUUCCUUUGCUGCUCCCUCAGGUGUGUUGAUUUUUCCCUUGUUAUCUGCGGCCUCAGGUAACGUAAGACUUACAUUCAAAGAGCUGAGCAGCAGCUUACGUGUGACCUGGUGUUUCCGGUCGCUGGCUGCACCCUUCACUAAAUCGCUUUUCUGCCGGUAAAGGAGCAGAGAGUCUGGGCGUUUUUUGGAGCUGGAUCGACGUACCUCCACGGGUGAGCAGACCUGUGCACUACUAACCUCUGUGGAGUUACUGCCUGUGACAGGAUUCGUGUCCUGUUUUGAACUCUGGUUAGAGGAGCCCGUACUGCUCACAGAAGCGGAUCCGAUACUGAUAACUGGCUCCUGAGUCGUGUUGACCACCUGCUGGCUCUUCACAUAGUUGGGUUUACUUGCAGCGAGUCUCUCCACAGCACUCACACGUCCUUUUGUGUCACCCUCCAGUUCCAUUUGCUUGCGAAGGUAGCCGGUAAUCCUACAGCGCAUGGCCUCUCGGAGGAGCAAGUUUCCAUUCAAGCCCACUCCUCGCCUGAGCACACGUUACAACGGGAGACUUCACCUUGUCUGUUCAAACACACAUCACGUUACCCCACCCAUCCUGU